rnacentral:rRNA from 2 species
AGACGACUUUAAAUACGCGACGGGGUAUUGUAAGUGGCAGAGUGGCCUUGCUGCCACGAUCCACUGAGAUUCAGCCCUGCGUCGCUCAGAUUCGU